UCUUGGUAACGUAAUGGAUUACAUUUACCAUUUUUUUUGUAAUCCCUUAAAUGUAACAUGUAAUCCUUUACUCCCUAGCCCCGUUAGCGUCUUACGGUCAGAUGCCGAGCAGUUGCCAUACCAGGCGGUGAUGCAACCGACCAGGAUGCUCUCGAUGGUGCAGCUGUAUAACUUUUUGAGGAUCUAUGGACCCAUGCCAAAUAUUUUCAGUCUCCUGAGGGGGAAAAAGCCACAUCUUCAUUACUUUCUUGGUGUGUUUGGACCAUGAUAGUUUGGACACCAAGGUACUUGAAAAUCUCGACCCGCUCCACUUCAACUCCAACGACGUGAAUGGGUGCUUGUUCGGUCCUCCUUUUCCUGUAGUCCACGAUCAUCUCCUUUGUCUUGUUCAUGUUAAGGGAGAGGUUGUUUUCCUGGCACCACACAGUCCCCGGCCACUAGAAGCACCGCUUCUGGAUGAGCAUUUUCUUGUUUGCUUACGGCUUUAUACAGCUCGUUGAGUAAGGUCUUAGUGCCAGCUUCGGUUUGUGGUGGUAAAUAGGCGGCUACGAAAAAUAUAGAUGAAAUCUCUCUUGGUAGAUAGUGUGUUCUACAGGUUAUCAUGAGGUACUAUACCUCGAGACUACCAUUAACUACUCACCGACGAAUACUCACAAGGCACCCUGACCUCCACCCCCUGUAUUUACUUAUUUUCUUCACGUGAAUGACAGGGAUUUGGGCCUUGUCUGGGAGCAACAUUACUUAUAUCCUUUGCGUCGGACUCAUUAAAGAAAAAAUCUUCAUCCAGUUCGAGGUGAGUAAUCGCUGUUCUGAUAUCCGGAAGCUCUUUUCGGUCAUAAGAGAUGGUAGCAUCAACAUUAUGUACAAAAUAAGUUACAAACAGUGUGAAAAAAUACACAAAAUAGCACAAUUGGUUAAGAGCCCGUAAAACGGCAGACAUCCCCUCCGGCGCCAUUCUUCUGAAUUAGCAAAUGUGCCUAACGUUAGUGAUUAGCGCUAACUAGCUAACAUUAUUUAACAUUAAUUAACAUGUCACCACAGGGAAAAGUAUGACUACAUGAACGGUGACCUAACGUUAACUAGCUGGCUAUCAAAGGACUUGUGGGUUCAAUGUUUUCCCGUACAAAACACAAAACGGUUUUGUUCCACGAGUGCAUAGUUACACGACUAAUAAAAUGACCUGUGAAGUCAGUUAUACACGUCAACAGGGAUGGAAAUUAAACUAGCCCGAGGAUAGUACUUUUCAGACUGGGCUAGUAGACAAUGUGCCAAACUAGCCUGACACAACAGUGAAAUGGCUGUGAAAUGAAAAUGUGCCAAAAUUUACAAACAUCGCAUGCCACAGAUUUAGGACCCGGGCUAGUAGAAAAUUGUGGUCUGCUGGCGAGUGCCCAAAAUCCUUAUGUUCCAUCCCUGCAUGUCAGUCCCUUUCAGAUGAUCCCCCUAUCACUGUUUGUCCUCCUCAACGACCUCACCGCUGAGGGUUUUAACUUCCCCGUUGAUAAUUAGAAUCAGAAGUACAGUCGUAUAGCUCAUCACAAUACUAAACCUCUUCGGCAAAUAGUACUCUAGACAGUCCUGAUCAUCUAGUUGAGCAUUCCAGAUAAUUCCAUCCCAGCAGAAAUGUCCCAUUCACAUUGUAGGAUUUUAGAUGUGCAGAUAGAGAUGAAAGCCCAGUCCAUUUUACAGUUACUUUAGUCAAGUGUAGAUUUUAAUAUAGAUUUGACCAUUUUACUAAUCAACUUAGCUAGCUAGUAAAAGUUUUUUUUUAAAUCUUUCAGGUUGGUGGACUGGAAACCCAGUGGCAACAAUCAGGUCUGUAUCUGUAAUUUUCCGGUGGGAAAGAGAAAUGGCCCUGUAUUUACCAGAGAAAGAUCCAGACUGUUGAUUGGGAAAAAAGAACGAACAAUGAGGCAUGAGGAUUGGGUGUUGAGGGACCAUUUGUCACAUUGUCCAAGUCCAAAAGGAGUGCAUCCCUUGUGCCAUCUGGUGCACGGACAUCCUUUGCCAGUGUGAUCUGAGUGCAAGUGUCAAGUUGUAGAGACUACAACAGAUCGAGCCUGUGGACGGACAGAGAUGUGGAGUGACAUGCGAAACACCAGGCUCACCCCACGAGAUCAGUGCAUAAUCAACGCCAUCCUCAGCAAGGAGAUAUGCUGGAAAUGAGUUACUCUCUCUAACUCUGGGGUUGCUGACAAGCGGAGCAAUAGGAGUCUGUCAGACAUUGUCAUGCUGGAUGGGGAUGGUGAUGGAGGCUUUGGUGGUUCACACAACGAAGAAGCAGAUAUCCCUUCCAAUGAUGUGGAGUUGACGUUGGACCUGGUGCCAGGAAGGAUUGUCUUCACAGAGGCAGUAAAACCCUCCUUCCUUCAUAUAGGAAUCCUUCAACUUCACUGUCUCUUCAAUAGUAAGGUCCCUUGCACCAUAGGGACACUUGACCUCCAACACAGCUGUGGUGCCCACCCAGAAUCCCAGACCCCGUGAACAAAAGCCCUCCUGCACAUCCAUCCCUGUAGCCAUUUGAUCUGAGGACCCUUUUUUAGCAGUGAUGGAGUAACACGCUUGGCCCUAACCACUGCUCCAUAAUUUAUGGCUGUCAACCUCCAUCUUCUCAUGGUGUGUCAGUUGGGGUUGGUGCAAUGUCGAACUGUUGCCUGCCAUAUAGCUUUCGGCUGCUCCACCAACAGCGCCAUGCCAACCAGGAUGCCAGUUUGCCCGAGGUGCCUUUUUUAAAUUUAAAUUUAAAUUAUUUUUUACAAUUUCCAGUACAGACAGGAAUGACAGGGAGGGUAGCAGUUGUUCUGGCUCAGGUUCAGGGAGACAUGCCAUUCCACUGAACCUGCCCCAGAGAUGGUUCCUUAGCUACUGAAGAUCCUCCUCUGUGGGCUCUCAGGACAGAGGGUUGUAGUCUUCAGCCAGGUACAGGUCCUCCACUGACUGCACCUAGUUGGGCACGGCUGGCUUCCUCCAUUAGCAUUCCACAUCCGUACGGCUGAAAUUGUGACCCACCAAAAUAGGCUGCAUGGCUACCUGUAUGUAUUCAGCUCCACGGAGGCAUAGAGGGAAUCACCUGGUCACCUACAGAGACCUGCCAAGAUGGAAGAUGUUAAGUGCCACAUGCCUUUCAAUACAUUCAUUUGAACACCUUGAAAUACAUAAAAAAUGUGCUGUAUAAAUAAAGUUUGAUUUGAAUGAUGA